UCUGUGCACACCAAAGUUCACUUCUUUCUCUUCAGCAUUCUUCAGAGAAAGAUGUCAAAAUUUGAAACAUAGUCUUAAAGACUACUGUUUUGCCUUGGAUCACAGUGGACUGUUAUGAUUCUGCAGACAACACGAGUUCAAUAUCCUACUCUUGUAGAUGAGUCUUGUAGUGUCUACAUCGAAAAUAGUACGAUGAAUCCUUCCAAUCGGGUGGAAAAAUGAUUCCUCAAAGUUACAGAUCAAGAUAAAACAUAGAGAAGGCUUGACCAAUUACCUAGGGGCUAUGGAGAGGUAACAUAAAGAAGAGAGAUUGGCCACAGUGUGUGCAACUACUCCGAAUGUAUAGGAGACAUAAAUGCUUUCUUUCAGCAGAUGAAAAUAUUGUUAUGCAAAUAUGCAUUUUGCAAUGUCAGAAUUCAAUUGAUUAUUCUAUAAAAGGAAAGUUCAUCACCUA